UAUUUAUUUAUUUUCAAGAAAGAAGACGAAGAAGAAGAAGGGAAGAGGAAGAAAAAAAGAACUGUGCUGUACGUAAUGCCGUAGUGUCUAGGCUUCUCCCCAUUUCCACGCACGUAACUCACAGAACAGCAACACUGGGAAUGUCGAUCCCAGGAAGAAGCCGGUAACAUCUCCAUUCUCCAGUCAGAAACACUUCACAGUUUACACUCACAAACACACAUUGUCAAACGAUCAUCGCUGUCGCCAACAAAAACCCUCACCUAUCCCUCUCUCAUGGGCGAACCACUCCAAAUACGAACCCAGACCCAGUACCAAACCCAGACCGAGGCCCAAAACCAAACCCAAUCCCACUCUCAUCCCCACCUUGAUACCAACGCCGCCGCCGCCGCUCUCCAACCACUGCCAACCCGUCCUGGCCAAUCCCCCACCAGCGACGGCACUUCUCAGACCACCCGAAACUCCUCCAAGAUCCCAUUCCGGCCCCAGAAAAUCAGAAAACUUUCGCCGGACGCCCCUUCCGAUGCCUCCUCCUCCGACACCAAACCCCCAAAACCCAUCAGAGUCUACAAAGACCCGGGCAAGAGCAAGAAGCGGAACGCCUCUCACUCAACCAGGGUUUUUCUUGCGAAGCCAUUGUCGUGCGAAGGCGAGACCGAUCUUGCCCUCCGGCAUCUCCAGAACACCGAUCCCCUCCUCGCUUCCCUCAUCGACGCUCACCCGCUGCCGGAAUUCGAUUCCUUCCAACCCCCGUUUCUAGCCCUAACCAAAAGCAUCAUAUUUCAGCAGCUGGCGUACAAAGCCGGCAAUGCAAUCUACGAGCGCUUCCUUUCCCUCUGCGGCGGUGAGGAGGGCGUUGUACCCGAAAUCGUGCUCGCCCUCUCCUCGAACCAGCUCCGGCAAAUGGGCAUCUCCGGCCGAAAGGCCACUUACAUCUACGACCUCGCGAGCAAGUACAAGAACGGGAUUUUAUCGGAUUCUUCGAUUCUUGAAAUGGAUGACAGGUCUCUGUUCACAAUGCUCAACAUGGUGAAGGGCAUUGGGUCUUGGUCCGUACACAUGUUCAUGAUUUUCUCGCUCCACAGACCAGAUGUUCUCCCCGUGAACGAUGUCGGCGUUCGCAAGGGGGUUCAGCUUCUCUACGGUCUGGAAGAGUUGCCGCGGCCGUCACAGAUGGAACAGCUGUGUGAGAAGUGGAGGCCGUACAGGUCUGUUGCGUCGUGGUAUAUGUGGAGGUUUGUUGAAGCAAAGGGGGCUCAGACAGCAACGGCAUUGGUGGAUAGAACUGUACAGCAUCAGCAGCAGCUGCAAGAACCGCAGCAGCAUCAGCAUCAGCAUCAGCAUCAUCAGCCUCAUCAGCAUCAGCAACAGCAACAGCUGCAUCAGCGACAACAGCAGCACAAUCAGCAUCAGCAUCAGCUACAGCUUUUGGAUCCUAUCAAUGGCAUUGCAAAUUUCGGGGCCUGCAUCUGGGGACAAUGACUUGGGGAUGGAUGAUACCCUGUAUGUCAUUCUUUCCAUGAAAUCCUCAAUUGAUCAAUCUGAAGAGGGGGGACUAAUGCAACAUGAGAAAUUAAUGAAGAUGGCACAGAGAGCUUGGUUUUUUGGAAUUUCCUCUGUGUUCCCAGUAAAAAUGAAGAACUUUUGCAUCGAUAAGUCGUCCACUUGCAUUCACUCCUUGAUGUUAAUUUUGUUGAGCAGCUGUUUGCUUGAGCUGUUCUCCAGCAGACAUGGUCGUAUUUAGAUGUAUCAUGUGAAGUCGCUUCCUUGUGGUUAGCAUUAGGAGCUAGCUCAAAUUCUGUUUUGCUUCCAACCCCAACCCCACACCCACCCCGACCCCGACCCCCACCCCCACUCCCACUCCCACUCCCACUCCCACCCCAGUUUAUUUUUAUUGAAAUCCUUGUAUAUGGUAUCCUUUUAACCAUGUUUAUUCAGAGGAGUUAAAAGCAACUGUCGAUGUCUGCUUCCCCGCACUGUGGUGGUAACUAUUUUGACCGUGUGAGGCUCCAUACUCGUGUUAAUGGGAAUGGUUCUCAUCAUACAAAUUCAAGAAAUUAUUUUUAAUUUCAAA